CCCGUUUCAGAGUUUAUAAUGGGUGUGUAUGGGACGGAAUGUUGGGGCUAGAGUGAGGCAGCUCAACUGCUAGAGUGAGAGGAGCAAAAAAAUUAAUCUUAAAAUCUUUUUUAAAACUGCUGCUGUGUCCGCAGCGUUUGCUCUACAGGUAUGAUUUUACCCUCAAAACGUAGCCAUGGCUGUCCUCUUUCAUCCAAUGUGUUUACUAUUGUACUAGGUGUUAUGGUUCUUUCAUAAAUGUCACCAAUGCACAGCCUCCUCCCUCCAACUCUUCCAUAGACUCUAAUGUUAAAAUGGCUCAGAAGGUUCGUUUGAAAAUCAGAAGAGCAUGGUGUCUUUCCACUGUCACCACGUCCAUAUAAUAAACUCCACAGGCAUGAAAACUGAGAAUUCAGUAGACUAGAAGCUGCUGUCGCUCACGGUGAAAGAAUUUUGUCAAUACGACUUUUACUUUUCAUUUGGGAACGAUUUGUUUCGGCCUGACUUUUCUGUUCAUUUUAAGCAGCAAAAGUGAGGCGCAUGUCUGUGUACGUGUGUAUGGAGCCAUUGGGUGCGGUCACUAUAGCAACCAGGCUCACACCUGCCUGCUUAACGAGCUCUGCCUGCCACUGUACCAAGAUUCAUCUUAAGAACUUCUCUUUCAACUGCUGCUGUGUCCACAGUGUUACAGCCAUCAUUUUACCCUCAAAUUGUCGCCAUUAUUGUUCUCUUUCCAACACCGUAUCUUUCAAAGCUCAGGCAUUUAAACUUUUUAAACUGUGUGGAUCAAAGUGGAGGGAUCACAUUUGAGUCAUUCAGUGAUUCAAAGAAUAUGACCUUUUAAUAUUCAUUCAGAUGUUUUCUGACUCUAAAUGUUCUUUUCUCAUUUCUUAGGGUUUUCUAAUUUACAUUUAAAACAUUUUCAUUUUUUUUCCAACUCCUUCUUCUGUGUAACCUUCAGCUUUUAGCAGUUCAGCACCUUUGUUUUCAGGUUAAAUUCGGGGGUUUUUUUGUUUUUUUUUAAUCUCAUUCAAUAUUUUUAACUCAAAAUUCAGCAAUUAAUUCAUUUCAGUGCAUACAUUCAGAUUCAAGCAUUCACACUGCAGUUUCUUCAGAAAAUGCACUUUCUAGUUAUAUUUUAUUAUUAUUAUCUAUUCCGUACGUUUUUUGAAAGCCAACUCCUUCAAAACCGUUCAACUUAGAAAAACCAUUCAAACACCGUUAGAUUCCUAUUCUUUUGGACAACAUUGCUUCUAUUUUUCUCAUUUUUAACAUUUAUAUUUUUAAUUUUAUUCAACUUUUUUCAACAAAAAUUUAUAAUGUAUUUCAAUGGGGAGACCCUUCAAAUUCUCAUUCAACUUCAUCCUCUUUAAACUGUAUCUACUUCCACAUACAUUGACAUAGAGCCACCAUUCAAACUUUAAAACGAAGACAAGACAUUCAACUAUUCAACUUGUAUUUAUCUUUUCAAUAUCUAUUAUACUUUUUCUUCAGUUCCAGUUUAAGUUUCAUGAUGUUUUUUCACCCGUUUCAGAGUUUAUAAUGGGUGUGUAUGGGACGGAAUGUUGGGGCUAGAGUGAGGCAGCUCAACUGCUAGAGUGAGAGGAGCAAAAAAAUUAAUCUUAAAAUCUUUUUUAAAACUGCUGCUGUGUCCGCAGCGUUUGC
ensembl:lncRNA